UUUUAUAUGUUUAAGUUUUUUAAAAGCAAUCGUGUAGGCAUUUGUUAUUGGUUUGUUAUGGGCUCAGACAGCUUUUAAAUAAAAAUCAAGAAAAAUAUCGGAAAAAAAGGAUACAAGAAUACAAUGGAUUUUUCGAAGAAUUUGAAGCUGUUGCAUAAAGAAACGGAUUGGCCGGAUUGUGGAAGAGAAAAAUUCGAACCAUUCUGGAUUACCACAAAGGAGCCUUAGAUGUAAUAGAAAGAAGUUUAUUGAAGCCAUAUUAGCAGAAAAUGCCACAGCAGAAGAGAAAAGAAUAUUUAAGUCGUCAAUGGAUCUUUAUAGACAGACCAAUAGUUACGCAAAAUCGUUAUUGGUGAGUGCAGUUAGUGAUGACAUUUACCAGAAGAUAAUGGAUCAAGAUUCAGCCGCAAAUACUUGGGAUGCUUUAAAGUUACAGUUUGAAGCGCAAUCCAAAGAUCAGGUUUUUAAAAUAUGUAUUAAUUUCUUUCAAAUUGAAUGGAAUCCUACUCAUGAUGUUUCCAUGCACAUUGCAAAAUUAAAGACGCUUUGGCUGAAGCUAAAUAAUGGUCUAAGGGCAAAACUCUGUUUACACUACUCUUUAAAUCCGGAUUUAAUGGCUCGAUCAUCUGUUUUCCCUUUAUAAAAUUACCUGAAUGGGGUUCAAGAGAAGAAAAUGUUCUACCUGAUUUACUCCUUGUGUGCAAAAUUUUACCAAACCAAUUUAAAACAUUUUAA